rnacentral:tRNA from 1 species
GCAUCGGUGGUUCAGUGGUAGAAUGCUCGCCUGCCACGCGGGCGGCCGGUUCGAUUCCCGGCCGAUGCA